CCUCUCGAGCUUUCACAAGACAUCACGGAGAUAUUUCUCCAUUAUGGGAACGAUAUUCAAUCCCGCCGUGAGAGAGGCUACGAGCAGCCUGUUCAAGUUACACACUCAGCGAAGAUAGAACACACACAAUUCCCAACCAAUAAAACAAGUGUAAUAAAGUCU